UCGAGGGGCAUCAGGAAGAAAGCUUGCUUUCUUUGCUGGCGACCGGCGCACGGGUGAGUAACACGUAUCCAACCUGCCCUUUACUCGGGGAUAGCCUUUCGAAAGAAAGAUUAAUACCCGAUGGGAUAAUCAUUCCGCAUGGUCUGAUUAUUAAAGGAUUCCGGUAAAGGAUGGGGAUGCGUUCCAUUAGGUUGUUGGUGAGGUAACGGCUCACCAAGCCUUCGAUGGAUAGGGGUUCUGAGAGGAAGGUCCCCCACAUUGGAACUGAGACACGGUCCAAACUCCUACGGGAGGCAGCAGUGAGGAAUAUUGGUCAAUGGGCGAUAGCCUGAACCAGCCAAGUAGCGUGAAGGAUGACUGCCCUAUGGGUUGUAAACUUCUUUUAUAUUAGAAUAAAGUGCAGUAUGUAUACUGUUUUGUAUGUAUAAUAUGAAUAAGGAUCGGCUAACUCCGUGCCAGCAGCCGCGGUAAUACGGAGGAUCCGAGCGUUAUCCGGAUUUAUUGGGUUUAAAGGGAGCGUAGUUGGACUGGUAAGUCAGUUGUGAAAGUUUGCAGCUCAACCGUAAAAUUGCAGUUGAUACUGUCAGUCUUGAGUACAGUAGAG
rnacentral:rRNA from 1 species